AGCAAAGGACCAAGUACUUGCAGAUUAAGCUACAUCGUGCAAGAGAGUGUAUUCAGAAAGGACUCAUUCAGGUGUCCUACAUGGCAGGAAAUGAAAUUCCUGCUGAUCUGUUGUCUAAGGUUGUUAACAGAGAACAACUUAAGGUUUACGUACAAAGGUUGCAAUUGGGUUGAACCACAGGUACUACAGGUUACACGGAAAGGGGGAGGAUGUUAGGAUAUUUCCGUUCCACCUUAAAAGGGAGCAGGCUUUGUGAGUCAGAGUCUGCGUAUUUCCUGUUCACAGGAUGUUUAUGUUUUCUGUUGCUUUCGUUUCCUCCUGUGUCGCAGACACUAAAGCAGUCGGUCAUGUUUUUCUGUGUUCUGAUCAACGCUGAAUAAACUUGUAAAUAAUGCUCUCCUGGGUGCAACUUUUGCUGUGACUAUCUGCUGAUAGAGUGUGCAUGAGCUCUAGAAUGUGGCAAGAUAUUUUCUAGAAACUCAUGUCGCUGCGUGCCUACGGGAGACUGAGAUGGAUCGUCCGGCAGACGGCUUGGGGGCCUUGAUGGACUUUAUCUCCCUGGCAGUAUCCCAACAGCCCCCCCCUUUUUUUAAGGAAACAAUUUUCCUUUAAAAAGGGCCAUGGCCGAGUGUGGAUUUGAAUCCAGGUCUCUCAGUAUUAACUGAAUACCCUACACCAGUGGUGGCCAAACUUGGCCCUCCAGCUGUUUUGGGACUACAAUUCCCACCAUCCCUGACCACUGGUCCUGUUAGCUAGGGAUGAUGGGAGUUGUAGUCCAAAAACAGCUGGAGGACCAAGUUUAGCCACCACUGCUAUACACAUUACACAGGCUGUGCUACUCUUCCCCCAGUGGUUACUUACAGCUAUGCAUGUCACAGAAAGCAGCCUGAACAUAUGAUCACAUGAAUAUUAAAUGACAAGAUCUGGACAAGGGAUCUCAGCCAGAUGGAGAAACUCCAUAACAUCAUUGCUUUCUACAACGUCUGUGGCUAUAUUUAAUAUUUGUUUUAUUUAUUUUGACAGCUCAGUCAGGCAUCCGUCAAUAAUUCUUCAGGGACAGGAAAGGAAAGAGAUCUUAAUUUUCCUUUUAAAACAAGGAUUUAAGGGAUGGGUAUGUGGUCAAAACUGAGCAGUCAAAUCCAUACUUUGACAAAUAGCCUCAGUCUUUAACUGAGGAGCACAGAUAAAAUCCACAGAUAACAUGAGACAUGUUUUCUUUCUAUGUGGGAAAAGAGAGAGUUAUGUAUUCCACUAGGCAACUCAAUAGUUGUGCAGUGGGACUUCCCGGUCUUUCCAUUGUGACCCUCCACUAAUCUGUUCUGGUGUGUUGGGAAAACCACCCAAACAGCAGGUGGGGAGAAGAGAGGGGAGAUUUUUCCAGCAGGCAGGGAGGAAUGUUUGCACUGAAGAACCAAUUUCCUUAGUGCUGCUUUGAAUGCAACCCCUUGGUUUUUAAAAUUCACAAUAGGGAGCAGAUUGUGGCUGAAACUUUUACCCCUAUCACCUGGAAGUCAAUCUCACUGAAUUCAAUGGAAUUUCCUUAGUACACAUGGUUAGGAUUGAAGUCUUAGCACAUCUAGGCUGCUUCUGGCAUCAAACAACACUUGAAACAAGAAAAGCAAAGAGUUACCGGUCAGGAAAGCUGCAAUUAAAUGUCAAUGAAUGUGUAAAUAAUGUGUAUUGCAAAGCAAUUUAUGUAUCUAUUUUUACACACAAUGUGUGCAAGUUUUGCUUUGGGGUUUUUUAAAAGAAAAACAACCUUUCAAUACAGAGAACUAUGAUGAAAAGUAUUCACAGCAAGAUCUGAACAGCAACAAUGGGCUCAAAUGGUAGAAGGCAAUCCACUCACAGUCUGUUUUCAAUGAAUUUCUCUGACACUCGUAUGAACAAAUAUGCCUCAAAAGCACAGCAAGGGCCACAAAACCUGCACCCACCCAUGAUAAUUCCCCAAAAUGUUCUCUUUCCUUGCUAAUUGAAAUGCAGUUUGUUUUCUUGUUAAUUAAAGAAUAAUAAAGAAUAAAAAUGGGGAGAAUUUUUCUGGCACAGCACCAUGCCACACAUAUUUCUUACAGAUAACUUAGCAAGCUCCAAUAGCUAGGCAAACUCUGAGAGUCUUGUGUCAAUAUGAAUGUCUGAAUUACAAAAUACCCAGUGCAGGCGGAGCGCACCGCCCCCGGCAGCACGGUCCCGGAGGGGCGCCAUCGCGGCUGCCCCCCCGCCCGCACUGGGUGCCACGCCCCCGCAGGUGGCAUGCCAUGCCCCCCGGACGUGCAUCAGCCACGCCCCCAUCUGCUCUCCGCCUCCCAGUGCCAGAGCAUGAAGCAUGAAGGAGCAUGAAGGAGAUUAACCUUGAGAAGAGCAUUCCACAGAUGCAAACACUUAAAAUACCUUUUCCAUCCAGCUGUUCCAUUAGAAGCCAAAUGAGUUUUCUGAGAAUUUUCAGAAAGGUAGUCAUAUUGGUCUAUUAUAGCACCUUAGUCUUUGUUAAGACUAAACAAAAACAAAAAAUGGCAUAAACUCCACAAGUUGUCACAAGACUGUAGUACCUGUGAAGUUAACAAAAGCAAGACUCAUGUGCAACACAUUUAAUAGUCUGAUGAGGAUGUGAAAAUUGUAUAUAUUUGAAUUCAUGUUUCUAAUGUAAAAAUUUGCCUCAAAAUUUACUGCCAUUUCUUUGUUUGUUUCAGGGGAGGCAUCAAAAAUGCAAUAGAAUUAUCACAUGCUGUAUACAUGUAAACCAAUUUGAAUUUGAAUUAAUUUAAAUUAAGUGAAUUGGCUGUCAGAGGACCAUAUUAGUAUCAUCUGGAACAAGUUAAGUCAUGUCUAAACGUAACUAGGACUGCAAUGAAAACUAUUUUGACUCAUGUCUGAAAAGCAUUUCACAGAUAUUUUAUGAGUUUCUAACAGAGAGAUUCAUCUCAGAUGCAGGCCAGGAAAAACAAGGAAGAGUUCACAACAACAGGGGAAAGAUAGGAAAAGAAGUAAUUGUGAGUAAAUUAUGGAGUCUGCAUCUUGUUUAUAUGAUAGUGAAAGGAAAGUGAUGGCUUCAACAAUAGCAAAGGCUAUGAAGUAUGACCAAAAAUACUGUUAUUCCAUCACAAUGACUUGGGUCAAAUUUACCUUUUUGUGAGAAAAGUGCUUAUAUCAACACUUACAGCUCAAUUUUACAAAACUAUGUCUUAGCUUUUAGGGUGAACUGUACAUAGAUUUUGGAAGAAAUUUAGCCACCUUCAGGUAUUCAGGUUAAGUAAAUACCCGAGGGGGGGCAUGGGCAAGCUGUGCCCUGCCCCCAUCAUGGUCCCAUUCUCUCUCAUAUGUUCAUCAAAGGAUGUGGCUGAAGAGAAUUUAAAAAAAAAUGUAAAAGGGCUGUAAUAUUCAUCAUCUCCCUCUUCGAGCCUAUGAUGGUGAUGCUAUGAUGUUCGCCUGUCUGUUGUGUUUUGUUAAGUUGCUUUUAACUUGUCACAUAGCAUCUAGAAACUUCAGGUCUGUGUGCUUAUGAUUAGUGACAGACCAGAUUUUAUACCUGUCUACUGGUAGUUGUCAUAUUAUUCUGAAAAUUCAGUUGUAUCAGUGCAGACCCCUGCAACCCUUCUUUAGAAAUACAUCUGAAUCCAUAUCUUUCCAUCAUUCAGUAUCUCAGCUUUUCUUUCAAAUCCACCUCUGUAUCUAUACACACACAUAUAAACACACACACACACACACACACACACUUGGAGUCUCUCUUUUUUCCAGAAUCAUGGAAAUCAGAAACCAUUCACAGAUGAUUACCGUAUUUUUUGUCCCAUAGGACACACCGGCCUAUAGGACGCACCUAGUUUUUUUGGGGGGAAAUAAAGGAAAAAAUUUUUUCCUUUAUUUCCCCCCCAAAACCAGGUCGGGGAAUCCAAAUCAGGUCGGGGAACAGCAGGAUUGCGGCGCUGCGCCUCCCUGCUGUCCCCUGAGCUUCUGGGGCUGCCCGAUGUCUGCCUGAAGUGCGGGGCGCUCUGCUUUCAGCGCGCCCUGCGCUCCGGGAAGCAGGCUACUAUCUGCAGCCUAGGGUGCCCUGCGGGAACUCCCGCAGGCUCCCCAGGCUUGCUGAUAGCUUCCUGAAGCGCACUGACCCCUCUCGCUCUCCAAGCUUCAGCGAAAGCCUGCAUUCGCCCCAUAGGACGCACACAGAUUUCCCCUUCAUUUUUGGAGGGGGAAAAGUGUGUCCUAUAGGGCGAAAAAUACGGUAAAUCUGUUGGUGAAAUAAUAACCAGUGUUUAUGAAACACCAGUUUUGAAGAUGUAUUGCAAUAAAUUGUAUUGAUUGCAUAGUAUGACAAUAUAGCCUAAUAAAAUAUGAUUCUGCCUCCAUUCCACUUUGCUGCUAUUGACUGACCUUACUAGGGUACACAAAAUAGUUUCUGCAAUGAAAACUGGAGCCUGACCAUGGACGUCUAUGCUGUGGUAACAGCUUGAAUAGAUUAGAAAAUUGUAAUCUUUAUAAGGCUGCUGAUUGAAUGGGAGUAGCACAUAAAUUUGCUGUGUAUAAUAUAUGGCCUUCUAUAUGUAACACAGGGAUGAAUGAAAUCCCAAUACUAUUCCCCAAACAAUGGGAACUGGCUUUGAGCUGUAUCUCCUUUCCCUGGUUCCAAUGAACGACCUGCAAGCUGUCCCUGCAUGGAUUAGCCUGUUAAUAAGCUAUGGUUCACUUCCACAGUCCCAAACAAACAGCAAAAAAACAGAAGGUAUAUAUGUAAAAUAUAUGUAAAAAAACCACUAAGCCUCAUUUGUAAAUCACAAAGCAUAAUCAUCAACUUAGAAUAAAGUUUCAUCUUUGCAAAUCGAAACAAUAUUCAGUAGCACCAGCCUCUGUGUUUUUGCUAUGACUAAUCCUAUCAUUGCUGUGUUAUGUAGUACCAUAUGACAAAAUUCUCUGGCUGCUAGCAUAAUUUAAUUCAUUCAGGCUUCUUUUAUGAGGUUGUUUUAGAACACAAAAGAAACUCUUAAUGAAGUCUCUUGUGGCAAACUAAAUGAAAGAAUACAUUUGUUUGAUUGUGCAAAUGAGAAGUUGCACUCUAUGGUCCAUUUCACUCUUGUUUUCCUUAUUCCCCACUGUUGCAAUAUUGAAUCUAUUAUAUUACUUUUGUCAAUUUGGUUUUGCAAUUUAGUAUACAGCUGACCAGAUAAUCUCUAGUUAUUUUAAUGAUGGGUCCUCCAAUGUUGCAGUCAAGAUAUGAAAGCUUGCUGAGCCAUACAUGUUGUUGUUUUUCCCCAAAAGAAAACCUAAUGUAACUUUAUUUUAAUAGCUAUCAAUAUAUUUUAUAGUGCUGGGAGCAUUUUGUGUCCAAGUUGAACUCUGGUAGGUUUUUUGUUACUUUGCUCUCAUCUUGUAGGAUGUGUGUGAAAAGUUUAUAGGCCAAAGGGACAAAGCCUUUCUGCUCAUCAGAACCCCUUAAUUAUGCCAGAGAUUUUGAUAGAUGAGCAGCAAAGUCCAAACAAACGUAAAGCUACACACACACACACAACCCCCCCACAAACCUAUACACACACACCUUAUUUGUAUUUUUCAUUUAUACUUAUUACAUUUAUAUACCACAGUUUUCUCCAAGAAACUCCAAGUAGUGUAUGUGGGUCUCCCCCAUUUCAACCUCACCAUGCUAAUCAUUUAAAUUAGGCUAAAAGAUAGUCAAUUUAUAACUUUGGAAAUGGAACCUGCAUCUUCAUGGUCCAAAUCUGACACUUAAACCUGUACACCACACCUCUGCCACGAAUUCACUAGGUGGCUUUACGCAGGCCACUAUACCUUAAACCCAAUUUUGCUAUAUAUAUAUACCCACACCUCCACAUGCCAUAUGCCUGCUGGAAUGACCAAUAUUUUGCUAGCUAUCAAAAUAAAACAAAAGCAAGACCACAUACAAAUCCAGAAAGAAAAAUCAAGAAAAGUAACUUCACCAAAGUCAUGUUAUCCCUCAGACAUCCUGAAAUGCCUUGUGAAUUUUAACUAAGAUAAACAAAUAUGUUGAAUGAUGGACUUCUCUGAGGACAGCUGCCCAUUGUGGUACCACUACAGAAAAAGUUGCAAAAUUUGCACCAUCUUCCUUAUUUUGCUAUGAAGCUUGCAACAGUCCAAAACAGAAAUGUAAUGGGAAAGAGAAGGGGGACAACAGCCAAUGAGGCAAACAAAUAUCUCUGCUGAGCACCCAUGAAGUUCAAGCGUGCAUUAAAUGCACCAAAGGGUAGCAAUAGGGGCCACUUGCUACUGUGGACUUUCAUAUGUCCUAAUCAAAUAGUUUGUCCCUCAACAUUUCCAGUUUAGCAAAAAAAGAACCACAUGAGAAAGGGAAGCUGAACAAUAAGACCUGUCAAGUUGCAUUUUGUGUCAAGAGGUAUGCUCAGUGAUGACACCUGGGCUUAAGUGCUGUCUGCUUGCAUCAGUCUGAUCGUGCACUGCCUGAGAAUCAGAUUAACUGCCGAGGUCAGAAUUGCAUUUGUAAGCUCCACCAGACAUCUGCCACAGGUACAAACAAAAGCAGCACCAACACAGGAGGUGCUGAGAAACACAAGAACCCAUGAAUUGCUUUACUGGAUAUGACCAAAGUCCAUCUAGUCCAGCAUUCUGUUUUCAAAUCUGAACACAGCAGUGACCAGGCCCAUGCUCUGGUAGUUCACCAGCAGCACAUGACAGUGAUAGACCUUCUGCUCUUGCUUAUCCCCCUGAGGAUAGGGAAGGGCCAGAGUUCAGAGGCAGAUUACAUGCUUAGAAUGCAGUCCCUGGUUAGUGUGAUAUCAGGAAGAAGCACUCAGAGAUCAACUCAAUAUAAGGCAACUUCAUAUGUUUAUCUUUGACAUUGAUAUUCAAGAUACAUACUGCCAGUCCAUUCACUGCCAAGUCUAAUUGCCACAGAAGAUCAUAAACUCAAGAAUGGGUGAGCUGGCUUGGGCUAUUCAUCAGCUAAAGCAGUUGGUACAUGUUUGUGAGGACUCUGCUACCACAUCAUACUGGCCUAUAGUGAUCUGUGCAUGCAAAGCUAGUAGCUAUAGAAGUCAGUAAACCCUGGAGUAUGUAAUGAAAGGCAGCAUACAAAUUUAGAAAUAAAUACCUCAAAGACAGGUCUUUAUCCCCACACACAAACACAUUACGAGGAAAGCAUCAGAGAUUAGAAGCUGCUUUGACUUUUUCAGCCUCAUGACUGGGAAUACUCAGCAUCUCUUAAAAAGCUAAAAAUUCCCCUCCUCCAAAUUUGGUAUGUGGGCCUUGACCAGAUUUGAUUGUGCCUCAUCACCUAACAUUUUGAAUCAAUAUGCAAACUUGAGGCUUCUUCAACUUUGUAGCCCCUGGGCCUGUUCACCUCUUCUUUCGCAGUUCUUUCCCUCAGACUUUCCUUUUCUACAUUUCUCUGGACCAGCACCUCUGUCUUCAUUCAUUUCCCAUUUUCUCAGAAUGCUACUCAUUUCUUUCCUAAGUCUCAGUUUUCUCUCCAUCUUUAGGACCUUAACAGCUCAACCCAGAGCUCAAACAGUGAUGUGCAUCUACUCUUUCCUAACUCUCCAACAUGGUUUCCAUUGCUUACUGCUUUGCAUUAUCCCUCAUUUUAGUAUUUUUGCAUGAUUCUUAGUAUUUUUGCAUGAUUCUUAUAUGAUUCUUAUAUAUUUAAAUCCUGAAUACCCUUUCUUUUCUUUAAAAUCCUCAAGUCAUUCUGCAAGCAUCAUCAUCACCACCUACCGCUACCUACCUUAGAUUAAAAGUCAGGUGUUAGUUUUACUUUAAUUUGUCCUGAACUUGCUCCUUGGACAAAUUUUAAAAGUGCUUAUAUUCACCAAGCUAGAAAAGUAACUUGUGAAGCUUUUUAGCAUGAUAUAUUAUAUGCAAUCUAAUUUAAUUCUUGUCUUUGCAGUCAUUAAAUCUUCUAGUGUAUUUUCAUAAGGCCUGUUUGCAAACAGGUGUUCCUUCCUUCUGUGAACAUUUAUGGCUAGCUGCAUCCUUGCAUUCACCACACUGGGGGCUCUUGUUUUGAAAAGUCUGUUUUGUUAUCGUCACUCAGGUGAACUGGCAUCAGGGUUCUGGCUGCAAGGUGGGAAAUAAGAGCUUUAGAAAACAGACAUGGAUUCAGGCACUGGGGUUAACACAGGAUCAAGCUUACUUCAUUGUAGUCGCUCACAGCAGUGCAUGGAUCACAGUAGGCUCCCUUAUUAUCUGCUUUACCUUCCUCACCAUCAGAAUUCUUGUUCUCAGAGGCAGCCCAAUCCUCCAAACACUGGCAAGAAACAAAUUCCACUUAAGUAUACGGGGUCUGAUAACAGCAGAAACCUCAAAAGAACUGGGUUGUUGGUGAGAGUUAAUAACACCCUACUGUGCCAGUGAAGAGCUACAUGAAAUAGCCCUUUGUUAACUAAAGAACGGCAGUCAAGAUAUUUAGCAAGGUUUGAACAAAGACUUGAGUAAAAAAAGAGAGAAAAGAACUAAAGGAAAGACAGCAAACAGGUCUUGCAAAGCAGCAUGUUGGAGAAUAUAGACUCGUCUGGCUGCUCUUUGGAUUUUCUUGUGUUUGUUCCAGUACUCCCCAAACCCUGCUAGAUUCCCAUAUUUCUUGCUUCUCUAUCUCCUCUGCUGUCUCCCUGUUGCAGAGGACCACCAGGUGAGCGCUAUGCAUCUUCACCUCUAUGCCUUUCUCCUUUAGUGCGUGUACUUAGCAGAAGAAUAACAAUAACCAUGAUCACAACAGGGAUAACCAAACAAAACCACCACCAUGAAAUGUUAAAGCUAGUUGCUUGAGUUGAAAUCAGAAUUUUAAGCAAGUUUAGAGGAGAAAUACAGUGAUGCCUUGCAAGACGAAAUUAAUUCGUUCCACGAGUUUUUUCGUCUAGCGAAUCUUUCGUCUUGCGAAGCACGAAAUCCCAUAGGAAUGCAUUGAAAUUCAAUUAAUGUGUUCCUAGGGUCAAAAAAAGUCCAAACAAAGCCAAAUUUGGUACAACAAGAGUUUAUUAAGUGCUCUUUAAAGUCACACAUACUGUAAAGAGCAUUUCAAAAAUUGAAGGAACAAUAAAUUAAGUUUCUAAACAUGACAGAAAAACAUUUAAAAACCCUCCUCAACUGUUCCCGCAGCCACCCACCACACAGAAAUUCAAAUCCAGAAUUUUUUUUUUAAAAAAACAGCAGAGUGGCCCAAUGGUCACAAAAAAAUCAUAAAAAUUCAGAAAAAAACCACACAAGCUUCCAGAUUCUUGCAAACCCCUCCCCAACUGUUCCCCCAGUCACCCAGCACACAGAAAUUCAAAUCCAGAAUUUUUUUUAAAAAACAGCAGAGUGGCCCAAUGGUCACAGAAAAUCAUAGAAAUUCAGAAAAAAACCACACAAGCUUCCAGAUUCUUGCAAACCCCUCCUCAACUGUUCCCCCAGCCACCCACCACACAGAAAUUCAAACCCAGAAUUUUUUUUUAAAAAAACAGCAGUAUGGCCCAAUGGUCACAAAAAAUCAUAGAAAUGCAGGAAAAAAACACACAAGCUUCCAGAUUCUUGCAAAUCCCUCCCCAACACCAAGUCCUUGAAUUCCAAACACACCAACCCAAAAUCCAAAAACCCCCAAAAAGUUUUAAAAGUUUAACUUACCAAAUGGCUGCAAAAGAAGUUUUGGAAAAGCUUCAAAAAUCACCAAAGUCUUCAAAAACCUCAAAAAAGGCUACCACACCGCGUGCUAUGAGUUGCUCCUCGAAGUCAAGUCGCAACUGCACCUCUUCAAGCAAUGCACCCUGGGUAUUAACGGUUUUAUGAAAAAGGAAACAAACUUGCAAGACGUUUUCAUCUUGCGAAGCAAGCCCAUAGGGAAAUUCGUCUUGCGAAGCAGCUCAAAAAAUGCAAAACCCUUUCAUCUAGCGAGUUUUUCGUCUUGCGGGGCACCACUGUAUAUGAUGAAUUCCACCAAAAGUGACAUUUGAAGCAAAUUUGGAGCCUCCCUCAAAUGAUUGAAAACAUUAAACAGUUGUAAUAGGAUCACCAACGUUUCUCAGGCAGAUAGUCUCAAAUCCGUAGUUUGGAACUCAUGGGAAAAGAUGGAGUAUAUUUCUGAAUAACUACAUACAUAGUUAUUUGACAGAGAGGUCAUUUCCAAAUUGUGUUUCCUAUCUCUAAGGUUCUGAUAUAUAAAAAUCAAGUGUUCAACAUUUUGCUGCCUGAUCCUGAUAGUAUAAAGAGGGAACAUGAUGCUGAUGCCCCCCCCAAGUUAUUUUAUGCCUGUACUUGUGAAGAAUAACUGCUUGCAUACACAAAAGCAAAUAAACUGUUACAUUUCUCCUUAGCGCUGUAAAAACCUGGGCCAUCUGUAGCUCAUCCUUUUCUUGGUCAAUAAUAGAUGAACGAAGCCCUGAAUACUGAAUGGAUAAUCCAUCAAAGACAACCAAGGGCAUAAUGCUUUCUCAAAGCAAUUUCACAAUCAAGGUAGGAAUUGCACUCAUUUGACCGCCUACCUUGUUUUAUUUCCCGAAGCAUAAAUUGUCACAUGCAAAAGCAUUAGCCUCCUGAGGGACAUGGUGCUGUAAUCCCAGCUCCUUAAUUAGAAGAAUGGGAGAGUAAGAAUUAAUGACGUUUCAAGUGACAUUGAACAAAUUUUAGGUAGGGUGGUAUAGUCUCGUCCACAAAGCCUAAAAUAAUACAGUAAUUGGAGCAAGACAAGCAAAGAUGAAAACACAAUCUUCAUUUCAUUUAAAACAACAGAAUUUUAACCAAAUACACUGCUGGGAAAAUUGAAUUUACUGCCCUGGCAGCAAAAGUUAAUAGGGUCAAGUGAAGAAAUGGAAAAUUGUAUUGUGACACUGUGCAUGGCAGUUUUGUUAUUCUAAAAUUGACAAAUAUACCACUUUGCGUUUUCAAAUCAGAAACAUAAGACUCGGUCCUUCAACACACUUCCUCAAGAACAGUCCAGAGCUUUGAAACCCAUCAGUAAAAUGUGCACUGAAUGAAAGAGCAAGGCCUUUUCCGCUGUCUUUCUGAAACUUGAAGUUGGCUUAGUGUGUAUCACGCAAUCUGUAGAUGUUUGCAUAAAAGAGUAAUCAUACUAUGAAUUUUUGAAUUGAUACUCAUUCUGUCAGGAGAUUCUAGAAUAAAAAGAAGAAGCAAAAGGAAAAAAUGCACUUCUUCAUACAACAUGCAAUUACCAUAUUGGCCCAAAUAUAAGCCACCUUUUUUUUUCUUCCAAAUUCUGACUGUGAAAAGUUAAAGUGCAGCUUGUAUUUGGGACUGAUCCCUGCACACCCACCUCCUGGCACUACCGCCCUGAAAGGGGGAUGGGGGCAGUCGGCGCCGGCUUGGGCAGGUAGCGCCGGGAGGCAAUAUUGCCAGGAGGCGGGCACGUAGCACGCUUGGAACUGAGUGCUGGCGCUGGCUUGGGGAGCAGGGUGCCAAGCACCGGUGCCGGCCACCCCCCAUUCAGGGCGGUAGUGCCGGGAGGCAGGCCGCACUCGCAAAUAAGCCUCAAAUUUUAAAGGAGUGGCUUAUUUGCUGGUACAGCUUAUAUUUGGGCCAAUUCUGUAAUUUAUGGAAUUGACGACCACAAAACAUGGUGACUAUUUAUAUUAAAGGCGGGGGGAGAGAUUAGUCACAUUAAUGGACAGGCCUACAAACAGCUAUAAGGCAUGAUUACAAGAUGGUCCCUCCACAUUUAGAGGAAUGCUAUACACCUAAAGGUCAUUGUCUUCAUGCCGUGAUUUUGAACUUCCUGGAGUUAUCUAGCUGGCCACUUGGAAACAGAAUGCUGAAGGAUUCUGGACCUUUGGACUGAUACAGCAGCCUUCUUCUUGUGUUCUUUUUUGGGGGAUAGUAAGUUCAAAGUUCACCUUUUUAGGUCAGUUUGUGGGGAACAGUGCAGCUGCUGCUUCUUGGUUUCCCCUUCCCUUUCCUGCCCUGCCGUUUUUUCAUUCUGCUUUCUCUCUAUUCUAAAAUUCUGUCUGGUCUACCAUCAUGCACAAAAUGACUGGCGAGGUUAAAGGAAGGCCUGGUUAUGGGAAAGAAGGCUGGAUUCCCAGCCUGGCUGGCACUGCUGCCUUCCUUCUCCCCAACUGGCCUGGAGAUAUACUGCUGCUGCUGCUAAUCAGAUGGCUGUCAGGAUGCAGGAAGGGCAGUGCACAGAUGAGGCAUGUGGGCAGAAGCGGUGGCCAGCCAGCCUGUGGAUCCACAGCUGAUACUAACACAUCCCAGGCAGCGAACAUGAGCCAGCAGCAUGCAGGAUGUACCUCAGAAGCAGCAAAUGGGCUCAAAGCAUCAACACCCCCCAAAUCCCUAGGUUUCACUUUACCCCCAUUCCUGGCCUGCUCCCUAUACUGAUUGACUAUAUGUUUGAGGUGGGCAAAGAACGAACAAACGUCUCAUGUACUGGCACAUAUGGACCAACUCUGGCCACUGCCCACUCUACAGAGAGGCUGAGGGGUUUUUUGUUAUUGUGUGGCAAGUUCUACAGGGGAUGGGGUGUUUGGCAAGGUCUGAGGAGAGAAGGGGUUGGCAAGUCUUAAGGUAGUGAGGUGGUUGGCCAGGUAUAAGGGGAUGGGUAGAGGUUCAAUGAGUUCCAAGGGGAGUGCAGGUGGGGUUUUGGUGAGGUUUAAAAGGGAAUAGGGGUUGCCAAGGUAUGAGGGGUGGGGAGUUUGGCGAGAUCUAAAAGGAAGUUGGAACCUUGGAAUGGGCCUAAGGGGAGUGGGGGUGGCAAGGGCCAUGGGGUAGACCAGGCUGGUGUGUGAAGCGUGCCACUGCAAAGUAUUUCCAGUGUUUGCCCACGAUAGCCCUGCCAUACUAUCGCUUUUCAUACAUAUUCAGUUGCGGCAAGUGGGGAGUUCUUAGUUCUUUAAAGUCUAAGAUCUAGAAUUUGUGGCACAGGGCCACCAGAUAUGUACCAUGCCAGCAUCUCAGCGAGGCAGAGGGAGACAUGUGUGCUAAUCUAUGAGGGGUUAAGUACCACCUAUGAAUUAUUUUUAGUGUUAAUUCUCUGCUCCUCACUAAGAUGGAUUUGAAAGUGGGGCUGAUGCCAUUGUUUGAUCCAAGCACCAGCAUCAAUAGUGCAGCCAAUUUCCCCACAUCAUCCUGGUGCCAUUUAAGUUGUUAAAUUUUGCAUCCAAAAGAAAUUUGUGCAAAGAUGAAAAUAAGCCUCUUGAUUUAGUAUUCUGUUUUUUAAGUAAUGUUUCGAAAAAGGUUAAGUGUCAAAUAUUACUCUCUGAGAAAGAUUUGCUGUUUGUUAAGUUCUGGAGUUGGUGGUAGAGUCUCCAUGGGAGGGUCUGGUUUCCUCUUUGGUCUCUUAGUUGCUCUUUAGAGAUUGGGGUUCUAUUUACAUAAGGAUUACAGAGAAGUUUUAUACCUUUGACACUCCAUCCCCUGAUAUCGUAGCUAUGGCGUUUAUUGAAUGUUGAAUAGUAUACCAAGGGAAAGUGUGGAGAUAGUCCAGGAGCUAAGCAAGGUGGCUUUCGUGUCCAGCAUUUGGAAGUCAUAAAUAAAAAUCUGUUUUGACAUUGGGACAGGAUCUAUAUUUGUUUUCAAAGAACCAAAGACUAUGUAAUGUUAGACCAUCUAUUAUUUCAGGUCUGGUCUAUGGUUUAUCCUCAUUUUCCACAAGAAGUGGAAUUGCAUGGGCAAUUUAGUUUGUGUUAUAAUGUAACUCUAGAUUUGGAAUACUCCAUCCUCCACAUUUUGUGUUAAUGAGUAAUAGUUUUGUUGCUAGCCAAGCUUUGUGGCAGUGGUUUUUGAUGAAGGACAUUUUUUCCAGCUUUGCCUUGUCGUACUUUAUUAAGUUGCAAACUGUUAGAGAAAUCAUUAUAUCAAAAGCCUUACAGCCAGUAAAUUAAUAUAAUCUCCCGCUACUUACUGACAGAAUGUUUCUGAAACCUUGUGAUAAUGGCUAGGGGUUUAGCACUUUUUUUCAAAGAAUGGUAAUUCAACGAAGCUUAAAAGAUAUUUUACAGAAAGGCCCUGUUUGACUAAAAGAUAACUGUCAUAAUCAAAACUGACAGCAAAAAAUAAAUCACUUGUGGAGAUUAUCAAUAGUUUUAGAGCAUUGACAGUUCAACUGUCUAAGUGUGUCCUCUCCCAAUAAGGAAUGUGAAAGGAAGGAAGGAAGGAAGGAGGGAGAGAAGGAAGGAAGGAAGGAAGGAAGGAAGGAAGGAAGGACAGACGCUGGCCACUAUCCAAUAGAAGGUAAUGUGCUCCAGGAGCAGAUUUAGCUGCUAUGGGAUUGUGUAAAAUAAAUACCAUCAGGGCAUGUAUCUGUAGAACUGAUUCAUGGGAGGACCGGAUAGAGCAUGAAAGUAGUGUGUGGAUAUAGUCUUACUAAGAUGAAGACUACUGAGCAAUACUGGCAAGUGGCAAAGGAACAUAGCUCAGUGAUAGAGCGCAUGGUUUGCAUGCAGAAGGACACUGAUUCAUUCCAAAGCAGCAACAGUUAAAGGGAAUAGGUAGGAGGUGACAUGAAUGACCUCCUCGGAGUCCCUGAAGGUCUUGUGCGUAAUGUAGUAAGCAAUCGUGGGUUAGAUGGGCAAGCAGCCCGGCAAAUUAAGCUGGUGGACUAUGCCGAAAUGGCUAAAAUGACGAGAAGAAUCAGAAAUCAGGAAGACCAAAAUUUUAAUAAGGAAUGGGGAAAAUAUAUAAUUUACCUUAAAAACCAAUGUAAACAGCUAAAAUCAUUAGUAGGAUUGGAAUAACACUUGUAGUUUAAUGGUGAAUCUUGGACAUAAUGGAGACGUAACAGAUCUGGGUUAUCAUAAAAGAUGCAGGAGGAAAUGAUUAACAAUAGGACCCACAAAGGGGAGGAGGGAUAUGUGAUUGUAAAACUUUAAUCUGGAAAACCAAAUGAAUAAAUUUAUAUAAAAAAAGACGGGCAAGCAGCCCUACCUGCUAUAAGGCUGCAUUCUCACAAAGUAUUUGAAGACGCAACAAAGUGAACUGGACUCCUUGGCAGGUUUUGAAUAAACAUCCACAAUUUUUUACUGAUAAUAAUUAGCUAAACAGUUGGAGGAUCUAUACAACUCUGUAACAUGCAGAAAACAGCAUUAUUGGAGAAACCAAAGACUGGAACUGAGGGAAGUUGGGGGGUGGGGUGGGGGUGGGUUUUGUGGGGGGAGGGGGGAGGAAAAAUGGGGGGGAAUAAGGAUAUAUUUUUGGAAAAUAUGUUUUGUUAUAACUUUGAAUAAAAAAAAUUAAAAACAAAACAAACAAAAAAAAGGCUGCAUUCUGUGUGCUGGGCAGGACUGUGACAAAUCAAGAUUAAAGAGGGGGAAAGUGGCACUUCCCCACUCCUCUCAAUAGAAAGUGUUGUUUGAAGGCCUUUAUUGGUCCUUUAGAUGUCAUUACCAGGAUCCAAAGAAUCUUGCAACCAGUUCCCAGUGUCUAAGGUAAUGCAACAGAGUGUGGGGAGCCAGAUAAUGCACCCCCAAUCUUCCCACUCAUGCAGUCGACAUUACAUGUGGGAUAAUGUCUGAACAGUGUUCCUGUGCCAUUUUUCAAAAUUAUUUGUAAUCAUAGAUCAACCUUCAUGCCAGCAUUUUACAAUACAUAAUACAGGAUAAAGUGACAGAAGGUCAUUACCAGCAUGCAUGCAGUCAGCUCUGUGCUAUCUCUGCUUUUGCUCUUUCCCCUUCUCCUAUUUUGUUUUUCCCUUUAUAAAUAUUUUAAUGUGAGCGUUUGUGAUUUCUUUUAUUGAUCAUGGCAAGUCAGCCCAGAAAUGAAGAUGCAAAACAUGAUUGCCUGUGCAAAUGGGAUAGAGCAGUCCAGAGAGACUCCUUGUGGAUUUCCUUUUCCACCUGCAAAUAAUGUAACAGAAGGACCUUCGUGGCAGAUCAUAAUGAACACAAACCAGGAAGGAAAUGACAGUCUCCUCUUCUGGUCUCCAGAGCAAACAAAAACCACAAAAUGAGUGUGGCUGUCUAAGUGUGGAAUUGAUUGGCCUGCACAGAGGGAGGGGGGAAUGAAAACAGACAAGGCUAUAUCCAUCAAUAUCCUCCACUCUCUUGCUCUCACACACUGCAGUGCACUGGCUUCAAUGCUCCCUGCCUCAGUAACUGAGAAUAAUCCCAUAUUGCUGCCUGCCUGUAAACUUACUGUGCGUCCCAUACAAAGUGAAAAUGGAAAUAUAACUGCCCUUAAUCCAAAUGUCCAGGCUGAACUGAUUUGUAAACCAGAUUUGUUCCAGACUGGCAGGAAACAAAACUUUUUUUUACUUCCCACCCCAUUUUCCAGGGUGUUUUUAUUUCUCCCCCUCUGCUGCAUAUUUCUGUCUCUUAUACCAUAACAACAAUAUUCUCUAAUUCCUUCCGUUGCUCCUAUUUCAAAUCCUGCUUGUGAAUUCAUCAUACUGUAAUAUUUCCUUAAAUAGUGCAAAAGGGUCUCCCAUUCUCCCACAAAGCAAUCAUCAUUAGAGUCUCUUAUUUUGGCUGUUAAUUUUGCCAAUUCCGCAUAGUCUAUCACCUUACUCAUGGGUAGGCAAACUAAGGCCCGUGGGCCAGAUCCGGCCGAGUCACCUUCUAACUCUGGCCCGUCGACUGUCCGGGAAUCAGCAUGUUUUUACCUGGGUAGAAUGUGUCCUUUUAUUUAAAAUGCAUUUCUGGGUUAUUUGUGGGGCCUGCCUGGUGUUUUUACAUGAGUAGAAUGUGUGCUUUUAUUUAAAAUGCAUCUCUGGGUUAUUUGUGGGGCAUACAAAUUCGUUCUCCCCCCUCCCCCCAAAAAUAUAGUCCGGCCCCCCACAAGGACUGGGGGACAGUGGACCGGCCCCCUGCUGAAAACGUUUGCUGACCCCUGACCUUACUUAUCUUUAGUGGGAACUUCUUCUUCCAUCUUUGUGCACAGAGAAUCCUAUCUGCUUUUGUUACAUGCAUAAACAACUUAAUCACCUUUUUUUUUGAAUUUCUGACCCCAUAAUCCCUAGAAUAAAAGCUUCAGGUUUGUUUGUUUGUUUGUAUAAUCACUUGAGCAUGCACAUAUAAUUGGGCAAGGUAAGAACAGUCAUUCUGAUAAAAUUCACUUGAAAAAUAGAAGCAGUGGCAGAAUCUCUCCCACAAAUUGGAUAGAUCCCUACACAUAAAAUAUUACCAAACUUACACAGCACCCCAGGUGUAAAUGAAUCAAGACAUACAAUAUUAUAAUUAAACCAAUCAAUCUAUAGAUUGGCCCUUUUAAUUUCAAUAUAUAAUGAAUUAACACAAGAUAAAUGCGAGGGUGCAUACAGAAGGAAUCUCCUAUUUAACCUACUUGUUUUCUCGGCUCCUUUGUCAGACAGCUAGUCUUCAGGUUGUAGAUCAGAUCCUCAUUAGUGAUUGAGCACUUGGAAAGGCUGGCCUGAAAGCAAGAAAACAAACAGUAUUUCCACUUCCUGUUUCCAGGUGCUUUGAUUUAACAGUUUGGUUUAAAUUGUAUAUUUAAAGGAUUUCUACAUCUGCACUUCAGCAAAGUUUCCAAUGCAAUUUACCAAAUCAGGUAAAAUACAAUUUUAAAAUAUAAUGCAUUACAUAGUGUUAACAUUAUACAUUAAAAAGUCAGAGGAAUAGAAAUGUGGCUGCUUGAAAGAAUAAUGGUGUUGGUGCCAGGUAGGCCUCCCCAGAGAGGGAAUACCCAACAUGAAGCAGUGGGUAACUUUUCAGCAAUUUUUGCAAACACAUUCCAAAACCCCUUUUUUGCUUUCUCCUCUCCCCUUUGGUUCCUUUUUCUCCUUUCCUCAUUUUAUUGGGGCUGGGGUGUUCUUUGGGGGGGGGGGGUUGUUGGGGGAAUUGUUUCUGUUGUAGUUGUUGGUUUUUUUGUAGCUUUAUCUUACAUCUUGCUAUAUAUGUGGCAAUUGUUCAGUUUGAUUGUGUAUUUUUUUAAAUGCUUGAUUACUGUUUAUGAUUUCUUUCGUUAUUUUAUAGUUAAGUAUCAUGCGAAAGGCUGGACUGGAUAAAUCCCAAGCCAGAAUUAAGACCAGAAGAAAUAUCAACAACCUCAGAUAUGCAGAUGACACAACCUUGAUGGCAGAAAGUGAGGAGGAAUUAAAGAACCUUUUAAUGAGCGUGAAAGAGGAGAGCGCAAAAUAUGGUCUGAAGCUCAACAUCAAAAAAACGAAGAUCAUGGCCACUGGUCCCAUCACCUCCUGGCAAAUAGAAGGGGAAGAAAUGGAGGCAGUGAGAGAUUUUACUUUCUUGGGUUCCAUGAUCACUGCAGAUGGUGACAGCAGCCACGACUAAACAACAACAACAACAACAACAACUUUUCAUGUUGUAAGCUGCCUUGAGCAUAAUUUGAACUGUGAAAAGGCGGCAUACAACUAAAACGAAGUUUGUCUGUCUGUAUGUAACCCAAGGUUUUUUAGCAAUGACGUUGUGAUGUUGCCUUUGCUCUAAUAGCCUCUCAGUCACAUACUUGUUUAUUUAAAAUGGGCAUUGCUUUUUAUCAGUGAUGUCAAAGUGAUUUAUAAAAAGAUAAAACAAGUGAAGCAACAAAUAAAAUAAAGAGCCCAUAAAAACACAAUUAAUAAAAAGAGCUUAAAAUGUUGAAUAUAUUCCACACAAAAAACGCUUAUGUCCCUGUGGAGAUGGCAGUACCGAAUCGGUGGCGCAUGCCCUUCUGGCUUGCACUCUUUAUAAAAACUUGAGGAAUGAGAUUAUCUCCCCCUUUUAUUGUCCAUUCCGGGUCGCCCAGCCACUGCCCCAGUGUCCUUUCUCUUGGCAGAUCAAGAUGAUCAGGUGACAGCAAAGGUUGCAAGGUUUCUAGGUGGGGCAGUCAAAAUAAGAUCCACUAUUUGACUAUUGCUUCAAAACCCUAAAAUGUAUUUUAUAUAAUUGACUUUUUAUUUCUAUUCUUUGUAUAUUGUAUUGUUGAUUUAUUGCUAUGGCCGAUGGCUGGUGCAAACAAAGAUUCAUUCAGUCAGUCAUUGAAUAUAGGAAUAAUAUUUUUAAAUGGCCGGAUGGAUAAAAUGCUAAUAAAAGGCUUUUGCCUGACAUCUUAAAAACAGCCAGGGUCAGACAUUUUCCCCUGGGAAAGCCAUUCAGUAGCUGGGGUGGCACUGCUGAAAUGCCCUUUUGAUGUAGAUGUGCCAACCCUGAUGGAGGUGGUAUUUCGAGAAGAGGAUCAGCCAUAGAGCUCAGCAUGCGGCAGCUUGGUAGGAGAAGAGACAUGUGUCAAGUACUUGGAUAUGAAGCCAUUUGCGUUGUUUAUUUAUUGAUUAGAUUUUUAUCCCACAUUUCCCCUCAAAAGAGCCCCGGGCAGCAAUCAACAAAAGAGUAAAAACAAUACGAAGAUUUCUAAAGCAUUUAGAGCUUGAAAGGCAAGCACCAGCACUUUGAACUGAACCUGGAAGCCAGUAGACAUUGGGAUUCUUCUACCCACGCUCUGGGGGCUCAAGAUGCGUUCCCUGAUGGAACAAUCAUAACAGAGCAACACUGUAUUCCACCCUUUGUUUUUCUGAAGUCAUAAAUUAAUCUGCAUUAUCUUUCUAAUUAUCUCUUAAUCAUCUGCAUAUCUGUAAGGCAUCAUUUAACACUUGUUACUCUACCGCUUGAAAGUAGCAUCGCCGUUGUUAACACGUGUUUUCUACUCACAUAAAUAUUUAAGUGACAAAUCGGGAAAUGUUAAAAUCACAAAUAAUGGCACAUACAAAUCAAAUUAACACAUAAUAAAAUUGUCAGCUAUUAAUGGCAUGCAAGGCAUGCAAUGACAGCAUAUUAUUAAUCCAAAUAAAAUUCAUUAAGUUUUCAAAGGGCUUGCAUUCUGCAAUACAGGGUUGAGCACUUUCUUCAGGCGGGUGAGAUACUUCUAUUUUUUCCUUCCACACUGUGAUCAGUAUAAGAGAUCUGACUACCUGUAUUUUGCACACAUUCUACCUAUUUUUAGAGCAACAUUUGCUGAGCCCGGCUUAAAAUAACUGUGAGCGGGCCCACAUAGCCCUAUAGUGUCUACUCUGGCAAUUAACAUUUCUUAUCACCUGUCCAGGAACAUAAGGAAAGCCCUGCUAGCUCAGACGAAUGACAUUUGUUUAUUUAUAUAUUUAUUUAAUAAAUAUCCUGCCUUUCCCCCAGAACUGGGACUCAAGGUGGUUCACAAGCAUUUAAGUAAACACAAAUAAAACAUAGGCUGGGUCUACACUGAUCUUCUAAACGUUGGAAAAAAAUAAUGUUCUAUAGUGCUUAAUAGCAGUUUUCCAUUGCCAGUGGCUUUCUGCUCUGCAUCGCCCUCUGGUGUCACAUUUUAAUAACGCAUUUUAACAUUAUAAACGCCAAGUGUAGAUCUGCCCAUAGAUUGUGUGUGUGUGUGUGUGUGUGUGUGUGUACAGUGCUUUUUUCUCUGGGGGGACGCAGGGGUACACAUACCCCCUAAACAUGGCUUUAUUGAGGGGCAAUAUUUCAAUAUGAGUAGGGAAAUAAAAGUACCCCUACACAUUUUUUUAAGAAAAAAAGCACUGUAUGUGUAUAUGUAUGUAUAUGUAUAUAUAGUUUUAAAGUAAUUUAAUUAUAAUGGAACUAAAAUGAUGGAGGGGCCUCUAUUAAAAUGCAUAUAGUAAAAAUCUGCUAUCUAUUCCAGUAUCCCAUUUUACACAGUAAACAUGGUGAAGGUCCACUGAAAGUACCAGUUUGGGCUGGAUAACCCCCCCCCCCAAUAAAUCAUUUGGGGGCAUAGCCAACCAAGUCAUAUUCAGGGGUAGACACACUGAAACCAAUGGACUGGUUAGAUUAAAGCCCAAAUAUUUCAGUGGCUCUAUCCUGUGUAUGACUUGGUGAAACAUCACCCUAAGUAUUUUAUGGGUGGAAAUUCUAUUCCACCAAAAUUGGUCGUUUCAGUGGAGCUCUGCUAGACGUACUCCUGGCAUUAGGUAUUGAAGAAGGUAAAUGGAAUUCACAUGGUGAGCAACAAAGAUCAAGGGAAUGCCGAAAUACAUAUCGAUAGUGAUUAACUCUAUGUGCUCAAAUGAUGAUUGCACAUCUGCGUUAUGUUUUUGUGGAAAUGCAUAGACUUUGGUCUAGGGCUAGAUUGAAGUUAUUUGGAAUUUGUCUGGUUUUGAGGCUGCUGCUGACAUGCCAUUGUCUUUUGCCAUUCUUGAUUUUCUUUCAGGUAGCUCCUGAAUCUUAUUGAAAUGACUUGGGGUCACUUGUCAUGCAUUAUGGAGAACAGUAAUUCAUGUGUCAGAAAAAGUUAACCCAACCGUCAUACCCCUGUGUGGGAUUUGUGACUGGUGAAGUGAACAUUUCAAGACACCCAUUGUUGAAGAAAGCCAUGAGCCUCAGGGUAUUGCCACUUUCUGCCAGAGUGUCAUAGGCUUUUAAGCACACAUAAGCUUAUUUCUAACUCAGGCUGAAGAAUCACCUAGGAUUUCUAAAAAUAAAUAUAAAAAUCAUUUUCUCCGUGGUUGAGUAAUACAACGACUGCAAAGAACCAAGCACUAACUAUGAACUAUCUUCAACAAGGAACUAUUUGCUCAAAUAAAACAGCAUAGAUUAAGUUUGCACAUGUUUGAUCAUUUUGCCUACUUAAUUCAGCUUCCAAAAUUCAGGGGCAUGAUUCAUCCCCUUCCAUUCACACAUCUCUAAACAUGCAGAAACAGAUUUGAAGGCAGCCUUGCAACAGCAUCCCUGUCUCCCCACCACCAUGGCCAGAUGCACAGAUAUUGCCCGUACAUUGUGAUGUGUCUACCUUUACAAGUGGGUAAUGUGCUGGAAAAAUUAGAGGUGUGUCAAACCAGAAAGUUUAUAGGGAAUGGAAAAUAUUUAAUGAAUAUUUAAAAACGUACUGUACGAACAAUAAGAUACUUGCAGAAAUAGAGUGAUACUGGUAACCAAGAAUUACAUAAAAUGUAAUAGUGGAAUAUAUAUAUAUAUAUAUAUAUAUAUAUAUAUACACACACACACACACACACACACACACACACAAAAUAAUAAUAAUAUGAAUCUGUGCAAGGAAUACAGAUAAUAUAAGUAGCAUAGUAUAAUGAGAAUUAUUGAAAGUUAUACAUUUUAAUCUGUUAUGUAAGUGUAAUUUGUUUAUGUUUGUUUAUGUUUGUUUCUUUAUCUUUUCUUAUUUCAUCAUUUCUAUUCAUUUGUAUCGUUAUGUUUAUGUUUAUGUUUGUUUCUUUAUCUUUUCUUAUUUCAUCAUUUCUAUUCAUUUGUAUCGUUUUCUGUUUUAUAUAUGUAAUUUGUGUAUCUUUGUCUAUGUGAAAAUUAAUAAUGAUUUUCUAAAAAAAAAAAAAUACAAGUGGGUAACUUGCAGUCAGAUCCAAAAUUCUGUGCACUGCAGAGCACUGAUGCAACUUGAGGGGAUUUCUAGUAUGUCACAUUUAGGAUUAAAUGAGAAUACGAUAGGAAGAGCUCAAAAUGUGAACUUCUCUUGACAAUUUGAGUUGGAGCUCCUCCAAACCCUCCAAAAGCACUUUUCAAGUCUGCCCCAACUCAAACUGGAUCUUACAUUCUGUCUCCAACAUUUCCAUUUUAAAUCUGAGAUUAUAAAUUCAAGUUCCACCAUCUCUGACUGCAUAUGAAUAUGAUGUUCUUUCUCAGCCAAGGAACCCUGUAUUCAGUCAUUUGUAGCUGGGAACUGUAGAACUUGUAGAUAAAUCGCAUGAUCUCAGAUGCAAAUGAUAGAAGUCCUUCAAUAUCUACAUAGUUACCCGCUUCCCAAGGGCUUGGAGGAAGUGAAGGUGGGUUGGCACCUAAAUCAGGCUUUUCAAAUGUUCCAUUAAACAUUCAAAUAACCUAUGAAGGUUGUCCAAGUGUUUGACUGGAGCUGUCAAAAGGCCUCAUUUAUUUUGGGGGUUAGGAAUGAGAAGCAGCUUGUGUUUAUAGGGAUAUUCGAAGCUUCCACAUACAGCACACAACAAGCCAAGAAUAUGUUCUACUCACUAUUGGUUCAAUUUAGAAGCCACAUUAGGUGACAGUGUGAUUAAAUUCUAAGGGAAAGCUGGCAAGUUAUGCUACUUGCAGAUACCAGCUAGGGGUGGGGAAACAGUUCCAGUUUGUGCCACUUUCACAAUUUUCAUUCUAAACUCCAUUCCAUCUCAUUUCUACAGCCUUAAAAAAAAAAAUCUGAAAAAAACCCAAACCAAACUAAAAGAAACCACUUGCUUUUAUGAAGUGGUCAAAGAACUGUCCCCUUUUCUGUCUUGAGCAGCCAGCUAGCAUAGCUGCUGCCACAUUAACUGAUUUUUGCCAGCGCACUUGUCUCAGGUUGUGAUGUGUGGUGAUGAUGCCCCAGGACACUGGCUGUUGCCAUGAGUCCAGUCUGGUAUGAAGAAAGAAGAAAGCAGAGGUUCGGGGCACUGGGAGGACUGAAGUUCCUGUGCAGAUGAGGUGGGCGAUUUUCCAAUGUGGAUUAGCUGAUUUCCAAAUCAACCUGAAAUGAGCUGGGGAGAGUGGGUACUUGGGAGGUGGGGGAGGCAUCAAUAAUAAUAAUACUAAUUCUGCUUUUCACAUGUGUGUCAUACUCACAAUUGCUUAAGUCCUUAGACCCUGUGUAUAAAUUUCCCAUAGUUGGCUCUGGAAGUGAAAUAUUUAUGGAUAAAAAUGGUCUUGGCUUGUGGUCUUGUUUGCAGACUGUUUUGUUACAGCUGAACAUUACAGAGCCCACCCCCAGCCUCAAAUGUGUGUGUAAGUGUGUUUGCCAAUGUUUUCCUUAAUUAUAAAGUAGCCCUUUGAAACAUGUCACAUUUUUCUCCAUUUCAAAAUGCAGCGAUGAAAAAUUAAUUUUUAGGACAAAAAUAAAGUAGGGCUGUUUGCACAAUUUCACUUGUCUUUACUCUUUGAGUUAAACAAGAGCAAAUUCACUGGUUGAUUGUGGAUUUGAUUUUCUAACACAAUAUUUAAAUAAAGUCACUAAUUAAUGAUAUAAAAAUACCUGUUUGCUAUUAAGCAAAAGCAACCAGAUGCUGUGCACACAUGCCAAUUAACAUUUGCAACAUUUUUUGCAGAUUAGCAUUCCAGGGGGGAGGAAAUGGGCAGGAUCCAAUUCCAUUUUAAGCUGUUUCAAUUCAAUUUUUCCCACAUCAUAUAUGGAAUAAUGUCAAGCUUCAUUUUGCAUUAUGGACAGUAUCAAUGUUCAUUUUAAUGUUAUGUUUUUGAGCAAUGAGGAGUUCCUCAAUUGUUGAAUUUUUGCUUGUGACUGUAGUAAAAAGGUAAAGGACUAUGGGGUGUAGCACUCAUCUCUGCUUUCAGGCCAAGGGAGCCAGUGUUUGUCCACAGACAGCUUUUCCAGCAUGUGGCCAGCAAUACUGCUGAACAGGCUCAUUGGAAGGUGAAUUUUUACACAAUCAAAUAGCGUUCCAAGAAAAAUUGCUCCAUCACAAAAAUCACCAUUUCUGAUGCCAAACACUUGUUGCAGCUCUAUUUAAAUAGCUGCCAUUAAAAUUAAAGGAACUUAAAAGUCCUUAACUCAGUGUUAUUAAUUGCAGCAUUAGUUGCAGUAUGAAGCUUAUUCUGGCGCACAUAAUCAGCAAAAUUGGUCUGACCAGAUUAAGAAGAGAACCACAAAGUUAUGAAUGUCUCAAUAAUUAGACAUUGUUAACUAGGAAAGCAGAACAGAUGUUGGGUGAUUGCUGCAAUAUGCUCCUAAUUUCCCACAACUAUUUGCAGCAGUUCCCUGAGUAACCAAUACAUACCAACACAUCUACACAUUGAUUAAGAUUGCAUUAACUGUUGUUACGUGUGUACCCUGCCUUAGGAACAUAGGAAGUUGCCUUAUGCUGAGUCCUGCAGAGUCUCUUUCAGGCAGGAGUCUCUUUCAACCCUACCUGGAGAUGCUGAGGUUUGAACCAGAAGCUCUUCCACCAAGCUCUGGCCCUUCCAUCUCAGUCCAUAGCCUUCAGAGCAGCUUAUGCUCACAACCAUGAGUUAUUACUUGCCAGACUCUCAUUCUGAGUUUUAAAAUGUAUCUUCUUCAUUUUUGUUUACUGUCUUCUGGCAUGUUCUGCAUGUCUACAAGGGCAAAACCAAUCAUAAUUCCUAAACAGUAUAGAAAUUGCAAUACCCAUUUGAUUUAUUUCCCCUCUGCUUUCAUCAACUCUUCUCCACAUCUCGUAAAUAAGGUCCCAAAUAAUGUCCUAAAUAAUGUCUCACUCAGGGAUGCUCAUAUGCCACAAUAUUUAUCAACAUGUAUACAUGAAAUAUAUGUUUGGUUCAAAAUAAUGGUACUUUGAUCAUUUAUUUAUGUUAAGAGGUGGUCGUUACACCCGAGCGUAGCAUCUGCGGCUUCAUUUACGGCACAGAAACAGAGUGAUUACUGUAUUAUGAGGUAACCGCACUCGGGGGUAUUACAAAACAUGAAAUACAACUGAGUUGAGGAAGUUCUCCUAAUUUUCCAGGCCUGUGAUUAUCUCAUAGGAGCUCACAGCUUGCAGUUACCAGAUGUUUCACAAUAUCAGUGGCUCUGGAGUUGCUUCCGUGUUAUAACAAGAAGAUUUUACAGCACAGACGAAGGCUGGCAUUUUCUCUGCUGGAAGAAGACAAAAUUGGCAAUUUAGAACAGCGGUUUUAGCUGAGCAGUUUGGUUAACAUCAAUUAAUCUAAUUUAUUAAAACAUUAAGGAACCAAUCACAACCAAGGCCUACCAUAGUUCUUAUAUGUGCCAUGUAUAUCUGUGGGUUAAUAUUCUUUCAUUCAAGCUACAGCAGAAAACAUAUAGGAUCUAAGCCUAAAACAUAUAGAUGCCCAACUUCUGUGGGAUUAUUUGUGUGUGUGGACUUCACCCUCCAGUUAGUAGCUGAUGGGCCAGGUUCUAUAUUAAAGUGAGGACUUCACAGCUAUGAAACAGAGUAACUUGGGUGACAGGCGUUACAUACAAAAUGCAAAAAGCCAAGAUAGCAUUGCAGUAAUUUGGUUUGCAUGUAAAACUAAGCCAAAGCCUGGCUUAGCAUGAACAAGUAAACAUGUGGGCUUCUAAAGGGAAAAUCACAGCCAGUUUGCUCCUUCUCCAUUCCUGCUGCUGUUGCACUGCUGUGAGCUAAGAUGUGCUUUGGCUUAGUCAGUGCUAUGUCUGAACCCAGGCUCAUGGUUUAUCUUGUUCCAGACAAGCCAGAAGCAGUUGCCAAGGCUUGUUCUACAGCUGACCACUCAUUGGGGAGACAAAUGACAAAGCAUUGGGUUUGGAGGUAAUGCAGAGCCAAACUGUGGCUUAACUCACAGCUGUGUAGCAACAGCAGGACCAGUGGGGACAGCAGAGGGGUCAUGAUCUCCUCUCAAGUAGUUCAGAUGUUUCCUCAUUUGCAGUAGACCAUUCUUUGGCUUAGCAUUAGGUGCAAAAGGGCUUGCCUCUCACAACUUUAAAAAACCAAUUUCUUUAUCUCAAAGACAGCAUUUAACCACACCUUAAUUAAAACUCAGUUCUAAUACCAAACAUACAUUUGUGGUGAUGCAUAUUGAUCUGAGUACUAGUUACAUUGUCCACAAAUGUCAUCCCAGAAUGUCCUUCCACAAUAUGCAUCAGCAAGCAACAGGUCUUAAAAAUUUAUGACAGCACAAUCCUAAACAUUGUAUGGGAUUAAGUUUCAUUGUGUUCAGUGAGACUUACUCUCUAGUAAACGAGUUUAGGAUUGCAGCUGGUAAUGGGCUUUAAAGAGAGUCUCUUAACUCUGCAAUUUAUUUUAAAGCCAGAUGUUUAUGCACGUCAUCAGAAUGGAAAGAGAUUUUAAAAGGUGUAUUUUAUUGUGUAUAAGGUCCUAGUAUCAGGCUGAAAAGCGGUGUAACGGUACAACAUAAUUUCAAGUAAAAAAACCCAACCACUUAGUACUGAAGCAACAAUAGAUCAGGGGAAGAAUAGCUGAGAAUGGGUGUGCAAAAAUGUGCAAAAGAGUGGGAGGUAGGUCUUUUUUCACAUAACUCUGCUCUUUCAAAGUGGCAAUUUUCACAAGGCAAAUUGAACAUCAUGAAAAUUUAGCACAGCACUAAAUACAUUUAAUAGGACUAUUCAAGGUUCAUAAUGCGGUGUGCAAGCUAUAGAAUUACACAUAAGAAUUACAGUGGCAGUAUAAUUCUGAAUACCACAUAAUGGAGACAAACACCAGGGGAAGGCCCUCUCCUUUGUGCCCAGCUUGUGGUCAUCCAAAAAUUUCUUAGUUGGCUAGUGGUGGUAAGAGAAUGCUGGACUACAUGGAACUUGGUCUGAUCUGGUCAGGCCAUGCUUGAAAGUUCUGUGUAAGUGCCCACAUGAAAACAGCCACACUUUGCUGAGAGUUCUGGGAUGUCCUCUGGUCAGUCAACAAAUGGAUUUGUCCAUUUGCUCUAAUUUGCCAUCACAACCACUUAUUACUGACCAGCUUUUAAGUAGAUAUUUUGUACAACCAAGCAAUUGUGAGGUAAAAAAGGUAAAGGUACCCCUGCCCGUACGGGCCAGUCUUGACGGACUCUAGGGUUGUGCGCUCAUCUCACUCUAGAGGCCGGGAGCCAGCGCUGUCCACAGACACUUCCGGGUCACGUGGCCAAUGUGACAAGCUGCAUCUGGCGAGCCAGCGCAGCACACGGAAUGCCGUUUACCUUCCCGUUAGUAAGCGGUCCCUAUUUAUCUACUUGCUCCCGGGGGUGCCUUCGAACUGCUAGGUUGGCAGGCGCUGGGACCGAGCGACGGAAGCGCACGCCGCUGCGGGGAUUCGAACCGCCGACCUUUCGACCUUUACCCACAGCGCCACCCGGGUGAUUGUGAGGUAUUUUAAAUCAAAUCCGGGGGCCAUUGGCCUGCCACUGGAGUCCCACUUGUUUGCUAAACUAUAUCUACAAUGGAUGAUCUCUUAUUGAAAUAAAAGUAACUGCCCCAUGAUAAUAAAUUAGUAAAAUGUUACAAAUUCUUAUUGAUUAAAGCUCAGUCAUUAAACAGAUUACUGAAAAAUCAUAAUGACUUGAAACCCUUAAAUUACAUGCAGUUCUGAUACCUUAACAAAACCUAAACAAAAUUGAAAUUAGUGCUAGUGCUGUCUGUUUAGAUUAUAAAUAGGUUUCUUGGCAAGCAUGCAUCUAAUAAACAUAAUAUAUGAUGUGUAGGGGGAAAGGAGUAUGAAAUGAAACAGAUGUUCAUCUUCAAACAAAUACAUUCAAUAUCACAUUUGAAGCAAGCAUUCAUCAUUCCUUCACCGAGAAGAAUCCCACUGCGGUUAACCACAUCUUUAAGAACAUAACAGUGAUAUCUACUUACAAGGCAGCUACAUUCAUAAUGGAAAGGAGUAAAAGAUGGAAACAGCUGCAGCUGAGGUUUAGUGGACUUCCACAGAUUGAAAAAGGAAAUCAUGACUCUACUUAGACAGGUUUUAUUUGGCUAUAAUCAGGUUUGGCUGUUCUGCUCCCCAGGGAAUACAGUAAUUAUGGCUCACUAGACUGAAGAUAAUUACUGCAUUCCAAGGGGAUUGGCACCUGCUCUCCUCUUUCAUGCUGAGUUUAAGAAAAGAAGAAUUUACUGCUGGAUCCAGGACUGGAUGGAUCCAUAACCUGUCCUGAUUGUGUUCUGUGUACAUAGUUAAAUACCAGUGGUCAGGGAUCUGUAUGAAUGAAACCACUCCUCAGUAUGAGCAACUCUUCAUUUAUUUAUUUAUCGACCUAUCAACUUUUUAUCCUGUCAUUCUUCCAAGGUGCUGCGUAUAGUGUCAGCUCCCCAUUUUAUCUGCUCAACAACCUGGUCGUGAGCGCGAUCAGGGCACAUACAUUCAGUGAACCUUUUUAAUCUACAUACAUUUUCCAUACAUUCCUGCCUGUUCUCUGAGAUCUGCUGGAGGAACAGUGCUAACUCAUGGCAUCACUUGGGCAGCUGCAGGAAAUGGGGCAUGUAGCACAACAAGGAUCUAUAUGGUGGAAAUUCAUUGACUUAGUCAGGUGUUUUCUGUGUUUAGUUUUAGACUACUUGAAAGGAGGGAGACCUUUCUAGGCCAAGAGACUCAGCUGCAGAAGACAAGGGCAAGGACACUUAGAUCCGUACCCUACUGUAGCGACUACUGUAUCAUUUAUUCAUUUUUAUCUUUUAAAUAUAUCGUAAGCUGCUUUGAUAACUUCAGUUAUUUGCAGAGCAUAAAAGCUCCUAAAUAAAUAGUAUUUAUUUAUUUAUUUAUGCAAGGAGAAGGGGACAACAGAGGAUGAGAUGGUUGGACAGUGUUCUCGAAGCAACCAGCAUGAGUUUGACCAAACUGCGGGAGGCAGUGGAAGACGGGAGUGCCUGGUGUGCUCUGGUCCAGGGGAUCACGAAGAGUCGGACACGACUAAACGACUAAACAACAACAACUUUGCCAUAUGUCCCAGUUUUGUGUUCUUCUUCACUUUGCCUUUUAUGCUUUUUUACUUUUGAUUUCAUCAUUUUCACGAUGUUUUUAUGUACACUGCUUUGAGAAGAUAUUUUUCUUGAUUUCCUAAUAUAGAACUGUUUGUAUAAAUAAAGUAAUAAAAUAAAUUCAUAACAAGGCCUUCAUUUCCUUGUUUCAGUACUUUGUGAAGUGCAUGCAACUAAACCAAAACACAACAAAUACUGAAUUGUAUAAUGACAUUUUCUGUUGGCUUGAGCACAAUAGUUAAGGACAACAGCCAGUCUUUCAGCAGUAACUAGCAGCUGUUAUUAUGAAUAAUAGUUUUAAAGAAACAGCUUCACCUUCAUAAUUAUGCUUAGGUCUGAAGAAGAACCUGAUAAUAAGUUGUUAUUUUUAUGCAUUACUGGAGAUGCCCAAAUCAAUGCCAAAGAAAUAAACAAUGAAGGAAGGAGGCAAUGAAAAACCUAGACUGAAGAUUUAACUUCAGAAUAAAUAUGAAAUCUGAAAACAAUGGUGACCUUAAAACCCAAUUGCAUUUAGGCAGCUGGAAAGGACACAUUUAUUUAUUUAUUUAUUUAGCAUGGAAGGGUAUGGUUCAUCAGUGAAUAUUUUAGGAUUGUCAAGGGAGCUAACAAAGCUGCAACAGACGGUAAGUAACUCUGCUGGGCAGAAAGAGGUACUAAAAGUUGAUUAUUAGUGUUCUGUACCGAACGUCAGCUUGUGUACCACAGAAUAGUAAUACUGCAGGGCCAGCAUAAGUGGGUUCCAUCUUACCCACCCAGCUAUCCUAAUCCUUAAACUACCCUUCCCAGCAGGCAGCCAUUCCUGCUUUUAUUGUAAAUUUUACUUACUGGGUGGUGAAGUGGGAGAAGUAGUGGGAGCCAGUGAUGAGAAACAAAGGAAGAAUCUUCUUGUGGCCAUGCAAGGCAGCGAAAGCAUUUCUUUCAAGGGAACGCCAACAAACUUAUCCUGUGUUAAACAAUUACAACUUUUCAUGGAUUUAACAAAUUAGAAGCCAGCACUUCAAAAGCCUUCAGAACCUCUAAUGAUCUUUAUGGAAUCUGCCUUUCGAUUGUCCCAACUUCUUCCCUUACAAUCCUACAGAAUGAGGAUCACUUUACAAAGACCUCAGUGUGGUUGAUUUUCCACCAUGACUGUUCCCAAGCCAUUCCUGACAUGUGCUGAUUCUUUUGGGAAGUGAUGCAUCUCUCUAAGUGAUAGGAGGCGUUAGUAGUAGAUGGCUGGAAGUAGUCAUGUUAAAAUGAAACUAAAACAACAGUAAGGCAAAUUGAAGGAAGGAAGGAAGGAAGGAAGGAAGGAAGGAAACCAAUAGACCACCACCUUAUAAAGGAGCAAUAUAAAAACAGUGAUUGGAAAUAAGAAUAAAAAUGCAACACAUUAGCAAAAGCAAUCUCCAAAGGAAAUAAGUCUGGGGCCAAAAUGAUAUAUCAAAGCAAGACCUAAGUGUAUGAGCAGGCUCAUGAGGAGACAAGUAAUCCUUCCGAUGUCCUGGUCUCAGGCCAUGACAGGUUUAGAUUGAAAAUGGCUUGGAGCCACUUGCAGUUGACAAAAUACAGGCAAAAUGCCCAGUCCCGUAUAAUAGCAUUUCAGUUAUACUUGGGACUAACUGCACUUUCUUCAAACAAAACCCACAUAUAGCAAAUUUCAGUAGUCUAAUCCGGAGGUUCCCAUGGUAUGGAUCAUUGCUGGCAGAUUAUCUCUGUCCAGGUUGAACUACAGCUGGUGCAUAAGCCGAAGCCGUCCUCCAGUCUGCGUCUCCAAUGACCAAGUUAGAUCAGUAAGCACCCCUGGACCGGAGGGUUGCAAACCCAUUCAGCACCAGGUUGAGUACCAUCAUCAUUAUUUUUAUUAUUAUUAUUAAUAAUAAUAAUAAUAAUAAUAAUUUAUUAUUUGUACCCUGCCCAUCUGGCUGGGUUUCCCCAGCCACUCUGGGCAGCUUCCAUAGAAACCAAAAAUACACUAAAAUCACACAUUAAAAACUUCCCGGAACAGGGCUGCCUUAAGAUGUCUUCUGAAUGUCAGGUAGUUGUUUAUCGCUUUGACAUCUAAUGGGAGGGCGUUCCACAGGGCAGGUGCCACUACGAGAAGGCCCUCUGCCUGGUUCCUUGUAGCUUUGCUUCUCGCAAUAAGGGAACCACCAGAAGGCCCUCGGCACUGGACCUCAGUGUCCGGGCAGAACGAUGAGGGUGGAGACGCUCCUUCAGGUAUACUGGGCCGAGGCCGUUUAGGGCUUUAAAGGUCAACACCAGCACUUUGAAUUGUGCUUGGAAACGUACUGGGAGCCAAUGUAGGUCUUUCAAGACUGGUGUUAUGUGGUCUCAGCAGCCGCCCCCAGUCACCAGUCUAGCUGCCGCAUUCUGGAUUAGUUGUAGUUUCCGAGUCACCUUCAAAGGUAGCCCUACGUAGAGCGCAUUGCAGUAGUCCAAGCGGGAGAUAACUAGAGCAUGCACCACUCUGGCGAGACCACUCUGGCAGGUAGGGUCUCAGCCUGCGUACCAGGUGGAGUUGGUAGACAGCUGCCCUGGAUACAGAAUUGACCUGAGCCUCCAUGGACAGCUGUGAGUCCAAAAUGACUCCCAGGCUGCGCACCUGGUCCUUCAGGGGCACAGUAACCCCAUUCAGGACCAGAAAUUAAAAGAAUUUCUACCACCAUUCGUUUCCAAAAGGAAAUAUCAAGGCAGUUCCCAGACAAAUAAAAGUCAAGAGCAAAAUAACACGAAUAACGGCAGUUAUAAAUAUUCAACUAUUCAUAACAAAAAUACAUAGCAAAGGAACUACAUUAAAGCAACACCACCACCCCAAGUCCAUUAACCUAGCCAGUCAUGGUGCCUAUUGUGGGUUGCUCCUGAAAAUGGCAACCAUGUGCCAAAACUUCCUUUCUCAGUAAUAGGCAUCUCCUGCAAAUUCAUUUCUUGUCGCAAACUUUUCAUCGGCAUAAUGUAAUCAUGGGGGAGAAGCCACGCAGAUGUCUCUGGUACAAUUUCUGGCACCUCCAGUUUAAAAGGCCAGGUAGCAGGUGAUGGGAAAGACUUCUGCCUGUGAGACCUUGCAGAGUCGCUAUUAUAUAGGUUGACAAUGUACAGGGUAGACAAUAUUGGGUAAAUAACAUGACCUGGUAUAAGGCAGCUUCCUAUAUUCCAGGUUGAGGGCUGUGCCUAAUGCCACAUUCUAUGCUUAGCAGCAUUUGUGCAGACUUGUGGCUCACAAAACCCUGACUAUUGUUCCUACCAACGAAUAACAUUAAGCUGUCAUGGGAAAAGAGAAAGGGCAAUAUAAUUAUGGGUGCAUUGUUGACUUGUCUUUCAACCUCCCUCCACAGCAGGACAACAGCAUUUAUUCAUUGUUGUGCUGAAUGAAAUAGCAAGAGCAGUAAUGCUGUACCAGACUUUUAUUAUAUCAGAUCUGCAGCGUGAGGAUUGUUUGACCUGUACAAUAACAAUGAUGUACAAACCUCCUCGCAGAAUCUAUUGUUCCAAUUUCUAGCCCUUGAUGGGUAAUGGAUUUUGCUGGUUUUCUCUUUGACAUCUUGCAUCACAAAAACAAAGGAGAACUUAGCUCAUUAAAAUCAAGAGUCCUCCAUUCAGAAGGAAUGGCAAAUUACUAUAGUUUGGAGCUUUUUAUGUUCAGAGGAGUUCCUCCUGAAGUUUAUCAGAGUUUUCUAUUACUCAGAAGUUAAGUGCCAAUUGGCCACAGAUGCUUAAAAAGCAGUGUAAAUCCAGAUAUGUCAGUAUCAAUUACUCGAUCUUGAGCUCAGCUAACGACAUUAGCAUAUAAAUUUGUUAAUUGGGAUUUUUCAGUAUGUUCGGGUGUUUUGUGCCACUCUAAAAGUGCACAGCUGAUAAACGUCGGAUCCAAACAGUCUGUUGCCUCUGCAAGAAACAAUGCCUACAAUCUGAAUCUUCGUGAAAGGAUGUGGCUGUGUUCAAUUCUCCACGCAACGUGGGAUGUCAGGGUUAGGACCCCUUGUCCAAAACUCAACCAGUUUUAGAAGUAAUUAUGGAAGUGAGAGCUGGACUAUAAAGCAGGCUGAUCACCGAAGAAUUGAUGCUUUUGAAUUAUGGUGCUGGAGGAGACUCUUGAGAGUUCCAUGGACUGCAAGAAGAUCAACCCUAUCCAUUCUGAAGGAAAUCAGCCCUGAGUGCUCACUGGAAGGACAGAUCCUGAAGCUGAGGCUCCAAUACUUUGGCCACCUCAUGAGAAGAGAAGAUUCCCUGGAAAAGACCCUGAUGUUGGGAAAGAUUGAGGGCACAAGGAGAAGGGGACAACAGAAGACGAGAUGGUUGGACAGUGUUCUCAAAGCUACUAACAUGAGUUUGACCAAACUGCUGGAGGCAGUGGAAGACAGGAGUGCCUGGCGUGCGCUGGUCCAUGGGGUCACGCAGAGUCGGACAUGACUAAACAACAACAAACAACAACAUGGAAAUUUACAAUAUCUGUAAUUGUAAAUGUUUUAAAUCCAGGAGGGAUGAGUUUGGUUUGAAUAUUUUUAGCCUAGGAGUGGGUAGAAAUUAUGUCUAAAAGCACUGGUGUGAAUCAACAGAUUCCAAAUAAAUUUUGCUAGCCUAAUCUACUUAAUAUCCCUCAGUUGUCUACAAAACAAGAGCUACCAAAUUUACUUUGAAUUACAUUGUAGGCAAGGUUAUGUCACAUUCCCUUGUAGGAACAAUAAACUGGGCUGUCUUGGUUUCAAGUGGUGUCAAGCUUUUAGUCUAUAAUUAAUCUUCUUUUGAUUACUGCUUGGUAUGGUAGUAUAUUCUAUUAAAUAAAUUUUGAGUGUGGGUGUUGAUGUAUAUAUUAUAUAUUGCCUGUAUUAUUGUAUUGGAAAUCACACUCAGACUACAGUGUAAUGAAGGGCAGUUUCUAAGUCUGGGAAAUAAAUAAAGGAGGAAAAAAGCCACACUCCUCAUAGGUAGGUAGAGAUGGAAAGGAAAAGAAAAGCAUAUAUUGCCAGCAUCAUUGCUUCCAUACUUCUAAACAUGUUUUUGUACUAGAGCAUAAUGAGAAUGUUCAGAUUCCCAGGAACUUAAAUCAUUUUCACAAAUGUACAGGAAAGAAAGUAAAUGUUAUCAUUAGAGGAACUCCAUAGGAAGGUCCACUCCAGCUUCUGAUUGGAUUCCAUAGGUCUAUAUAUCUAGUAAUGAACUUCUCACUCAAAAGGUUUCAUGCUGUGGAAUCGUUGAAAGCAACACAAACGUUUUCUUUAAUGAGGACAUGUUAACAAAGAGCCUGCAAGGAUGAUUCACUAAUCACCAAGGAUACUUCUGUAUCUACACACAAGGAAAAGGAACUGAAGAUUGAAUUAGAGGUGACUCAUGUUUUACAUGCCAAGAAUAUGUGUCACAUAUAUACCACAACAUAAAGUGUAACACAAGGAUGUGCGUUUCUUUUUUAAAUAGCUCAUAAUAAAACUUUUUUGAAAGUACACAUUAAAAAUAGAACAGAUUCAAAGGAUGAGUUAUUAACACAACAGGCUUAAGACAGUUCAAUAGCUAUAAAUACUAAUAAUUUUCUUUCUCCUUUAUAUUUCUUUUGCAGAGUUUUCUUUACAGUUUUUCUUUACAGGGUUUUGAGAUGAAGAGAUAAUUCAAAAGUGUAUAUUGGGGUGGAGGAGCAGGCCUAAUCCUUUCUUGUUAUUGGCAUCUGUCUGUCUUGAGGGGCAAUGGAUGAGUGCACUAUGGGAAAACAAAACUCUGAGGCAGUGUGUAUGGAGGUCCUGGGCUGCCCAGAUGAUAAGAUUCCUUUCGUGGCUUCACUGAUGUAGUCUAAAGGAAAGGAAAGCAGUACGUUUGGCACCAGCUAGGCUGCAGGAGUUGCCGAAAUGAGCCAUCCCACUGUCUUAGGGACUCCACUCCGGAUUUGUAUUGGGUUUACUCCUUAGGCUUUUCUUUUCCUGAAGAUACUGCACAAGGCAGUGGAUAGAUAUUAUUAUUCAGGGUUUACUCCUGAAGCCUAUCUCAUGAAUGAGUAUAAUCAUGAAGCAGCAGAGGUUUAGGAUCAGAGUUUUCCUUCUCCUAGAUGGGCUCCCUUCCCAUGCUGAUGAGCGCUCCUUCUGCCACUCACUUCCCUCUACAGCAUGUGCAGAAACCACCGUCUUGAUGGUUGAACCUACUAUUGGUCUUGCCCACUUAAUCCACUGGAACAUGUCUUUGCAUGCAGGGGAAAUCUCUAACUCAGCAAGGGUUUGAGACCUAUAUUCUACCCUUACCUGGUUUAGCUGGCCCAGCAAAGCCGUUUCCCGGGGUUUUGGUGCUGUCGCAUGCUGAUAGCUUCCAGGAGCCACAGGUGAGAGCUGAGUGCAAAGUGGUGGAAGAAUUACCCCAGAAGGAGCACAAUGUUUCUCCUCACCAGAGGUACUGCACCUCCUCUAAAAUCUCAUUCACCUUUAUACCUUAUUAAUCAACACACAAUUCCCAUGUUUUGUCAAAUAAGUCCUUUAUCUUUUGUCCCCUCGUCACCCUUAGUUUUUGUGUUAAUUUCUCUAAAAGAGCACAUUGCUAAAGGUUUUGGCACCACUGGUCAAUAUUUACUGUAUAUUCUGAAGUAUUUUCCCAUUCUGAGCUAUUACUACUGCUCGUGCUGCCCAGAGAAAAUGACUCAACAGCUCUUUAUGACCAAGAAUCUAGAAACAUAUUUAGCAACACAAAUGUCAGAAAUAGAUGUAUCCGUUGAUCAGUAACCUCACUGAUCUCCUGCCAUGACAACUUCCAAACCCCUUGUAACAGAGGGAAAUUCCACCAUGUGUGGAGGCAUGUGCUGACCAUAUCACAACCUCUUCAACAUAUAGGGAAAAUAUAAGGGUUGGUUAGAACUGUUAGGAUAUUUCCGUUCCACCUUAAAAGGGAGCAGGCUUUGUGAGUCACAGAGUCUGCACAUUUCCUGUUCACAGGAUGUUUAUGUUUCCUAUUGCUUUCGUUUCUCUCUCUGUGUCGUGGACACUGAAGCAGGCAGUCAUGUUUUUCUUUGUUCUGAUCAACGCUGAAUAAAACUUGUAAAUAAUGCUCUCCUGAGUGUGACUUCUGCUGUGCAUUAUCUGCUGAUAGAGAGUGUGCAUCGGCUCUAGAUGUUGGGCUAUUUCUGGAGCUCAUGUCACUAAUUGCUGAUACUGCAUGCCUACGGGAGAUCAAUGGAUCGUCCGGCAGCCGGCUUGGGGGCCAUGAUGGACUUUGUCUCCCUGGCAGUAUCCCAACAACAGGUUAUGGGCCCAGAUUCACAGCACUUACAGGAGAGUAAGGCUGCGACAGACUGCGUUGAGGUAUGUGGGAAAAGCGAAAAUAAGGCUUUUCUGUUUGCCGCAGCAAGAGCUUUUGAUGUCCGGCUGGCCUAAUUGGCCUGGGAGCCGAGCCAAGCAGGCUUCGUGAUUAAUGAGAGCCAAGAUAAGGAGUCUCUGAAGUGAAAAAGACUCACGGCUCAAGUAAAAGGCUGAGAUGGAUCUUUUACAAUCCUCAGAAGCUGCUCCGUCUCCACCAAAGCUAAAUGGCCACAACUAUCAGACCUGGGCAAGGUACUGUGAGGGCCAGAUGUGAAAGCUUGGAGUGUGGAAUACCGUUUCUGAGAACGCCCCAGCCCCUGUGACAGAUGAUUGGAGGGCACAGGACUCAAGAGCCAUGGGGAUAAUAUUGCUCUCAGUAGCUCCUGAAGAGUUAAUCACCCUGGCUGGCAAGGCCAGUGUCCGUGAGAUGUGGGACGGGCUUAGAGCCUGUCAUCUCCGACAAGAGGCUGGGUCUGUGUUGCUUUAUUUCAGAAAGCUGCACAGGAAGUGUUUGGAGCCAGGGGAAGACCUUAGAGCCCACGUUUUACAUUUGCAGCAUCUCAGACAGGAAUUGACUCAGAGAGGUUUCAAUAUGCCUGAGUCACUGUUUGCAAUUCUCAUCCUGGGCUCCCUGGAUGAAAGCUACCAUGCCGUGGCAAGUCAGCUGGCGACCCUCCCUGCGCAAGACCUCACUGCUACAAAGGUCUUGGCGACUUUGCAAAAUGAGUAUGAUAGAAGGAAUGCAGCUGAGUCGGCUUGUGCGCUCCAGGGGGAGCAAUGUGGGACAGCAUUCCAGCCUCCAGGGGGAGCCAAAGCGUUGGCAGCUGUGAAGUGCUGGAACUGUGGGACCCAAGGUCACACUCAGAAGUUUUGUCCAAAGACUGGAAAUAAACAAAGGAAGAAGCCAGCAGAUGGCCAGAAGCAGAAGGGGGGUGGAAAGCCCAAGCCAGGGAAAAACAAGGCUUUGUUUGCUGGCACAGCUUCACCAAAGGCUAAAGGCAAGUCUGAUGGCCAGGAGCAGGGGAGCAAGCUGCAAAAGCCCACGCCGGUGGAAAACAAGGUUUUGCUUGCUGCAAAGGCUGCUCCAAAGGCCAAGGCCAGGCUUAUUAUUGAUUCGGGGUGUACCCGCCAUGUAUCGAAAGACCGCCAUUUCUUCAUCUCCUUCAAACCUCAAGAAGGUGAGAUCCACCUGGCUGAUGGAAAGACGUUGUGAAUCGCAGGAGAAGGGACUGUGAAACUGGCAAGUCUGCACACUACCAUCAAAGAUGUACUUUAUGUUCCAGGCGCUGCAGACAACUUGCUCAGUGUCCCACAGCUUACUGGGCGUGGUUUUGAGAUUUCCUUCAAGAGGAGCGUCUGUGUCAUCAGGAAAGGCAAAGAGGACAUUUUGCAUGCAAAGUUUAUGGAUGGAUUGUUCUGUAUAACUUAUGAUGACAAUGGUGCUGUUGUGUCUAAUGUUGAUUCUUGUUGUGUUGCAGGAUGCAUUCAUGAUGCACACAGAAGGUUUUGUCACCUCUCUUGGAAGGCACUGGCCAAGAUGCCAGAGAUGGUUGAGGGUUUGAACAUCAAACCCUGUAAGUUUCACAUGAAAUGUGUAUCUUGUGCAGAGAACAAGGUGAAGGUUGCUCCAAAGGCAAGGAGUCUAGCAGGCAGGCUUCCAAACCCUACCAGCUAGUGCACGCAGACCUGGUUGGUCCACUUGCGCCCUCUUUGGGUGGAGCAAGGUACUUCAUGGUUCUAAUUGACUCUUUUUCCAGGUACAUUCAUGUGUUUAUGCUCGAGCAGAAAUCGCAAGCGUUUCCGAGUUCAAGGCAUUCUGUGCUUGGUUGGAGAAUGUUCACGGUAAACGUAUUGGCUGUCUCUUUACUGAUCGGGGCGGGGAGUUCACUUCUCAGCAGUUUGAAGCUUUCCUGACUGAGAAGGGAAUCCAGCAUGACUUGUCAACGCCUAGAUCGCCAUGGAUGAAUGGACUUGCGGAGCGAGCAAAUCAAACGUUGCUGCAAGGACUGAAAACCUUGUUGCAUGAUGCCAAUCUCCCUGAGAAGUUUUGGGGGGAGUCUUUGAACUCGUUUGUUUACACUUAUAAUCGCAGAUUGUCAUCACCUAUUGGUUGUACUCCCUAUGAGAAGAUGUUUGGUAAGAAACCCAACAUCAAGCACAUGAGAAUCUUUGGUUCUGACAUGUGGGUACACACCCCACAAAGCAACAAGCUUGGGAAGCGUGGGGCACAUGGUUUGUUCAUGGGGUACGAAAAAGGUGCAUACAGGGUAUGGAUGACUGACUCUAAGUCCAUUAAGUUCACAAAGAGUGUUGAGUACAAUCCUAAGUGGGGGGAACAUGUGGGAAUUUUCCAGAGUUACCCAGAGGAUGAUGAAGGUGAUGUGAAAAAAGCAGAUAAUGCUGAGGAAGCUGAGGAUGAUGAUGAUGAUCAGAGUUCGGAUUCCAGUUCAGUGGGCGGCGCUGCUGCUGGUGUCAGCGACAGUGAUGACACAGCAGACUACAAGAGCGCAAAGGCCUCAGUCAGACCAUCUGAUGUGUCUGACAAUGAACUGGAAGAACCACUGUUCACCAUUGGUCACUUUUCUCCUAAGAAGGAGGAGAUGAGUCCAGAAGACUUGCGUCUAGUACGCAGAUCUGAAAGGGCAACCAAGGGCAGACCUCCAAAGAGAUUUGCUGAUGAGUUUGCUAAGACAGCAACUGCUGUUCUUAGUAGCUCAGAGAAGGUGUGGGAACCUUCAAGCUUCAAAGAGGUUCCGGAGUUAACCUCUAAAGAUGCUGAGCCUUGGCUUAAUGCCAUGAAGGCUGAAGUUGAUUCCUUGAAUAGGAACCAAACUUGGGAGUUGGUACCGGUAGUCCCAGGAAUGAGACUGGUUGGCAGCAAAUGGGUCUUCAAGGCCAAGACAGACCAGAAUGGCAAGGUUGUCAGACACAAAGCCAGAUUGGUUGCCAGAGGUUUUUCACAGGUACCAGGACAGGAUUACCACGAGACCUACUCACCCACCGUCAAAUAUGAGAGCAUUCGGCUGAUGCUCAAGAUAGCUGCAGAGGAGAAACUGCAUGUUUCCCAUCAUGACAUUAAUACAGCUUUUUUGUACGGGAUUUUGGACGAGGAGCUGUUUAUGCUUCCACCUGAUGGGAUGCAGAUACAGAAGGGGAUGGUCUGUAAACUGCGGAAAUCCUUAUAUGGUCUCAAGCAGAGUGCCAGGUGUUGAAACACAAAGCUCACUGAGACAUUGCUUUCUCUAGGUUUUCACCAGGGCAAAGCUGAUCCGUGUGUGUUUGUCAAGGAGGAGGGGCAAAACAAACUGUAUUGUUUAUGUUUUGUUGAUGAUCUUCUGAUGUUUUGGAAGAAUCAGGCUUUGUACCAAAGCACCCUAGCUCAGCUGAAGGAGCACUUUGACAUGAAGGAUCUUGGUGAGGUAUCCAACUAUCUUUCUCUGCAGGUGGAGAGGGACCAAGCAGGUAAUUUUCUGGUACACCAAACACAGAAAAUUGCUGAUGUAUUAACCAGGUUGAAUUUGGUUGAUGCAAACCCAGCAGACACACCGAUGGUGACAGGUUACCAGGUAGAUAGUACUGCUGAAGCGUUUUAUGACACAACGCUGUACAGAUGCAUUCUAGGCAAGUUGAAUUUCAUUGCUAGAUGCUCAAGACCUGACAUAGCUGUAAGCUGUAACCUGCUUAGCAGACAUGCCAACAAUCCUACUGUUCAGGAUUGGAAAGCUCUGAAGUGCAUAGCCCGCUAUUUAAAAGGGACUUUGCACUACAGGCUGAGGUUCACCAGUCAGAAGACUGGAGGUCUUGAAAUCUUUGCAGAUGCAAGUUUUGGAAGUGACACCACGGAUGGUACAAGCACUUCUGGAGUAUGCUACAUGUACAACCACUGUCUGUUUGACUGGCUGUGCAAGAAGCAGACGACAGUGAGCCUAAGUUCCUGUGAAGCAUUUUCACUCAUGGAUUGUGAAUGGUUGAUGCAACUGUUUAAGGACAUCAGAGUUUCUGUGAAAUGUCCUGUACAAGUGUAUCAAGACAAUAGAUCGUGUUUGGCUUUGCUGAACUCAGAGAGUUGCAAGCAAAGAACCAAGUAUUUGCAGAUUAAGCUACAUCGUGCAAGAGAGUGUAUUCAGAAAGGACUCAUUCAGGUGUCCUACAUGCCAGGAAAUGAAAUUCCUGCUGAUCUGUUGUCUAAGGUUGUUAACAGAAAACAACUUAAGGUUUACGUACAAAGGUUGCAAUUGGGUUGAACCACAGGUACUACAGGUUACACGGAAAGGGGGAGGAUGUUAGGAUAUUUCCGUUCCACCUUAAAAGGGAGC